rnacentral:rRNA from 1 species
AGGGGAAUUUUGGACAAUGGGGGAAACCCUGAUCCAGCCAUCCCGCGUGUGCGAUGAAGGCCUUCGGGUUGUAAAGCACUUUUGGCAGGAAAGAAACGUCAUGGGUUAAUACCCCGUGAAACAGACGGGACCUGCAGAAUAAGCACCGGCUAACUACGUGCCAGCAGCCGCGGUAAUACGUAGGGUGCAAGCGUGAAUCGGAAUUACAGGGCGUAAAGCGUGCGCAGGCGGUUCGGAAAUAAAGAUGUGAAAUCCCAGAGCUCAACUUUGGAUCUGCAUUUUUAACUACCGGGCUAGAGUGUGUCAGAGGGAGGUGGAAUUCCGCGUGUAGCAGUGAAAUGCGUAGAUAUGCGGAGGAACACCGAUGGCGAAGGCAGCCUCCUGGGAUAACACUGACGCUCAUGCACGAGAGCGUGGGGAGCAAACAGG